ACGGAACGUAGGCCACCCGCCAUUCUCAGCAGAGUAGAGGGGUAUUAAUCUCCUGCAGAACUCAGGCUAUUAAUCUUGACGCACCUAGUGGCAUUUUAAGGAUCUGCAGAAGAAACCAAACAUUCACGAAAGGACACUCUUGAAUAUGAGUCUCUCAGAGCAAAAAUACAAGUAACCGCACUCCAGUUUGAGUCAUCAGGUAAAUUUGCUGCAAACGAUUUCUUCUGUCUGCACCUUUGGUUUUUGUAUCUCUGGGUUAUGAAAAGUAGCCUCUUGACGUGGUUCAACUUUUUAUUCAUGUGGAGGCCUAAAAUCCAAAACUCUCCACUGUAUCUGAGGUCCUCUGUUAGGUGAAGGACUAGAUUAAAAAAAGGAUUCCUCCCACUACUAAUCAGAAAAUGACUGGCUUUCUGUAGUAUCUUAACCUUGAGUGACAGAAGCGUUUUUUAAACUCAGACUCUGUGUGCAGAACCUGGAUAGAGCCACUGUGCUAGCAAGAAGGAAUAGCUGACUUGAAAGACAAGGCAGACUGAUUCUCCUAUUCAGGCCCAUUCCCAGGACUCCAGUCUUAUCACAAGGCAUACCUGUAAUGAGAGAAGUCCACAAUAAUGUGCUACAGUACCGAGCUGCACCUUUGUCUGGUCUCUUCCAGUUCUGUGCUUUGAGAAAAUGCAGUGCCUAAUUGCUUGAGAAAAGGGUGUAAGAGGGUCAGUGACCUGUACUGGCUGUACAGCAACGAUUAGGGAACUAAUCCUUUUCCCCUCUGAUGCAUAUGCGUGUUUAAAGUUUCUCUAUGACCUUAGCUAAUAAUGCUUCAUCUAGGUGUUUUCCAUUAACAGGUGGGGAAUGAUCCUUACACUUCAGGUGGAACAUUACACUGCUAAUGAGCACUCAUUUAAAAUUUGACACUACUAAUAAAACAUGAAGGAAUGGACUAAAAGAAAAGUUUAGAUUGGUUAGCAGAAAAAAGAAAAAAAGACUGACUAUAGAGACAUGGUGCAAUAAUUACUACUUUAGGUAAAUAGUUUUUAUUUUAGAUAAGGUGCUUGAGACAAGAUUAUACAAUUUCAUGGAAAGAGAAAUGAGGGGUCUUAAGAGUUAAUGAAGAGGUAUUAACCAAGAAGUACUAUCCAACCUUAGCGAUGAAACCUAUGACUGAAUUACCUGGCAGUGCAAAACAGGUGCUUCACAAUUCUAAGGCAGAAGGGAACCCAAAGUGGAAUUAUUAAAAAAGGCUCUUUAGAAACUGAGGCACUGAAAUCCUAUAAUGCCACUGGCAGUGGCUACCUUUCCAAGCUGUCUUGAGAGGUGGCUCAGGGGAACAGAACUCACAUACCUUAAUUAUGUAUGACACACAUUUGAGAAACUUUGCACUCUUGAAGUUUUCUAAUCAAACUUGUUAUACUCUUUAAAAGGCAUUUCAGUGUAACAGUGCCUCUAUUUCUUAUCUCCUACUGCCUUAACUGAUUUUUGUAAUAUUAAGCCAUCUCUGCAGUUCUUCAGACAUGAAUAGAACAAUCAUGUUUACGCCUCUGAACAACUGACAGAGCUUCUGCUGUUAUAUACUUCCUGAUAUUGUGCAAUGGAUAAGAGGGCUCUGUUGUAGAAUUGUAAGCAUUCUAGGUCUACAUCAGCUAGUUCUUUUUAUAGCUAAAACUAUAAGAUCAACUGUCAGUGUUUUGACUUCUCCCUCCCUGAAGCAGUAAGAAAAGUAUUUUCAUGACAAACCUUAAUAGAAAACUCAGUUUCCAAUUUCCAAAGAAAAACUACAAAACAAACUGUAUGAAGAGAUUUCUUAAACAAUUACUGACAGUAAAAAUCCAUGCACUUAUUUUUGUAGCAAAAUCUUCACAAGUGUGGGGAGGUUUUGUUUUUGUUUUUAAAUUACUGAAGAAAAAUGUUUGUCAAAGCUGCCACAGGAUGCCUUUCUACAAACAUUUUCUCAUGAUGUUUUAAUCAUAAUUUAGCUCCACAGUAGAGUUUGUAAACAAAAUGUUGCUCAUGAAGUUUGUAAACAAAACAUUGCCCAUAUGCAGUAGAGGCCACAUAUGCAUUUCCCUUUAUUAUAAUAUUUAAAGACCAUGAUUUAAGUGUUUGUAUUUACUACAGUAUGUCAUUUAUUUAAUAAAAAUUCAGUUUUUUUUUAAAGAAUGUAGUUAUUUUACUUUUUUAAAAAGCAGAUCACUUGAAUUUUAGAUUUUAGUAUACAAACCAAAGCACAUGAAAGGUAUAAAAAUGUUAGUGUGUGCUAUGUAUUAAAUAUCUAGCCACUUAUUUUAAUGCUCUCCUCUGUAAAUUAAAAAAAGCAAGGACCAGAAUGGGAACAAACGUUUAGUUAUUGUAAACAGACAAACUAAUACAGAACAGAAACACUAGUUCUAAAACUUCACAAUUUGACAGCAUCAUUUAUUCUCUCCAAAAAUCAGUUGGGCUUCAAGUAGAAGUUAACACACCAUAAGAACAAAACAACAUUCUACAGUGGAAGCUUUACAAAUCAACUAAAGAAAAACACCGUUGGCAAAAAUGGCUUAGUAGAGCAAUUUUAUAAUGUUGUCAUUUUGUAUUAAUUUCAACUGGUUUGAUAGGAUUUUUGCUGUUCUGCUACCAAAGGUCUUUUUUUAAAAACUGUUCUGUGAACUGUAUGGUCACACUAUAACCAGACAAAAAGACAAGGUAGUAGCAGACCAGCUGCUUUCUAUUUGGAAUUUUUUUUUUUUUUUUUAAUAAUGCUAAUUCCCAAUGCUGUUCUUCCUGUUGCAGAGGGAAAUGGCUUAUUUGGCACAGUAUGGAUAAAAAUAUUAAAAAUUGAAACAAAAAUUUACAAAGUUCCAGUUAUAAGUUAGUAACCACCAGGUAGGGAGGAGGAAAAGUAAAUGUCAUGAGAAUUUUUUAAAAAAAAAACCCUAAGAGUAUAAAUCUUU